GUUAAUUAUUUUCCAGCUGUUAAGGGCCACAGUUUGGUGUGGUGGGUAUGAUACCCCACCAACUGGGUAACACUUGCUCCUCGAAUACUUCUGCAGCUAAGAAAUCUCAGUGGAACUGCUGACAAAGGCCGCCUACAGAUUCUGGGAGUGAAAUCCUUUAACUUUGGCCACCCUUACUAAUUGAGUCAUUAUUUGAAUUCUUCUAGCCUGACUGCAAAUUAUCAGUCAAGGAUCCCCCUCGUACCUCAGCACCCCGGGGCCCUAUCAUUGUGGCAAGCUGGUCAGGAGAACGUCUGUAAGGUAAGUUGCUCUCCCUGUGUGCUCUGCCUCCUGCCACUUCUGACCUCCAGCCUUUCUACCCCUUGCCUGCCUCAAGCUUGCCUGUGCAGGGCAUGCACUUCCCAGGUACCUACAUGGCCGCACGGC